CCAGAGCCCUGUGGUGUUUGGGUACAUACAGGGUGCUCUGGGAGUAGAGGUUAUUGUUGUGCCCAAGAUUGCGAAUCUGAGAAACCACCAAGGAGCCAACACCGAUGCAAGCUCACGAGGGUUUAUUUACAAGCUCGAGCUUGCGUCCAAGUGUACCCGACACAGCGGAGCAGGGACUUGGGCCCCCGAGUUUUGGAGGAUAGAAGACUGAGAUCAAGGUGACAGCAGUGUCGGUUUCUGGUUUAAUUUAUUUAUUCAUGAAAGACACAGAUAGACAAAGAGACAUAGGCAGAGGAAGAAGCAGGCUCCCUGCAGGGAGCCUGAUGUGGGACUCAAUCUCAGGACCCCAGGAUCACAACCUGAGCCAAAGGCAGAUGCUCAACCACUGAGCCACCCAGAGGAAGCACUUCUUCACUUUAAACCGACCACUUACAAAAGUAGCAGGUGAAGGUUUCUCUGUGGACUGGGGUAAGUCGGUAAUUAAAUUUUCUUGAAUCAGUAGAGAAAUUAUAAAAAAUAAAAUCAAUGUUGUGAGUUUUUCAUAAAGGUAAACUCAUUCUAUUAAAGAACUUGCCUUUUUUAUUCUAAGAUUAUGUCCUAUUUAGUUAUGUGGUUUUAAAUUUCCCUACUAUUAGAUGAUGGUGAUAAUAGGACGUAGUUAGGUUUUUGUUUUUAAAAUAUACUUAUUUGGCAAAAGAAGAGUUGUUACCAUAUGUUGGUCAUCUUUAAGAAAAAAACAAAAUCCACUGGUAUAUAUAUAUAUAUAUAUAUAUAUAUAUAUAUAUAUAUUACACAUAUCCACCACAGCUUUUAAACAGCUGUGGUGCCUGUGAAACUUUUGAAAUAAAUUUACAAUUAUUAUUAAAUAACUGUUGCUCUAUAUGCUCCCUUCUACCCACUUUGGCCAUUCAAUCUCCUUUCUUGGGACCCCAGACUUUCUCACAAGUAAUUAUCUAAAGGUUAAUGCCUGUCACAGUUGGGGUCAUCAGUAUACUAUUUGUUCAUAAUUUACCAGUUGUUAAAUAUUUAAGCAGAACCCAUGGUAAAAUCCAAAUGCCUACGAACGAUUGGUAUAAGAGGAGUAUUUCUAUCUGAUUCCUUUAAGAAAAACAAAAAAGCCAUGGAAUCCCUUAAAAACUGUGUUUGAGACAAUCUGGCAACUCCUAGUUUGAUAAAUGUAAGGAUAGAGUUGUUUUUCUUCCUUCAUAGAGAGUGCAAUAUAAAAAUCUCCAUAAUUAGAAACACAGUGCUUUAUGCUUCCUAGGCAUCAAUAGUUACAGGAUGAGAAAGAGUGGAUAGAUCUUAGAAGCUUUGCAGGAGAGAUGGAGAGAGAGAUGUAUCCCUUGCAUCUCUUUUCUCUUUCUUCUCAAAAUUCUUCCUUCAAGUAAGGGGAAUAGGAUCUAUGAAACUAGGAAAAACAAAAUAGUGACUAAAAAAACCAAAAUGCAGCUUUGACAAACCACAAGCUUUAAAGCAAAAGGAUGAGGACAAUAUCUGAAAAGACUUUAAACAUUAAGCAAAGUAAGGGAAAUUUAAAAUCUUGUUUUGAAUGUAUUAGAUCACAUUAAACAAAUUAUUUUUAAAAACCCUCUCUUUCUUUGUUCUUAAACACUUGUCUUUUAAGCGACAGAUAGGAGGACCAGAAUAAGUGGUUAACUUGGAUUGACCUUCUGAACAGCUGCCCCAUUAAACUUCAGAGACAGCACAUCCCCAUUGCUGCAAUCAAGUGACUACAGCUGGUACUGUCCUUACAAAUUUAAGCUGCAGAAGCACUUUAAAGAGGCGAAUAACCCUCUUUGGGGUCUGAAUCGCCAAAAUGUGUGAUGCUUUUACAUGAAUAAUAUUGUCAUUUGAAAUAUAAACUUUAUUUCUUUGCACUUUGAAACAAAGUGAAGCUAGUUAUCUUGAUUUUGCUUCUCUUAUUUCUUGAAACUCUGCCAAUAUAUCAGCAAAAGAAAAGAGAUGCAUUGACAGUUCUGUAUUAUAAAAUGCAUAAGUAAAACAUUUUGAUGCCACAGAAGUUUAAAUUAUUGACAAUAUGAUUAUAUGAUUAUGGUUUAAGGUUUUUAUAUUAAUUAUAUUCAGAGAGAGGUCUGGGAUAGGGAGGGUUAAUGGGCACCCUGAAACAAGCAGAGAAAAUGCCACUGCAGGUGUUUGCUUUAAUGGGGUGUUGAUGGAACACCAAGGGCAGGUAAGUAGGAAAAUGAAUGAGAGACAGAAAGUGUUGAAGUGUUAGUGUAAAACACAGGUCUGUGACAAUGUGAAGCUUUAAUGCCUAAAAUUAUUUUGGCUUUUCUUGCUUUAGAAUGCUGUUUCACUAACUUUUGUACAAGCUCAAUUACCUUCUUGUAAGGACAGGGCAGUUAGAGUGGAAAUUUCAGAAAAAGGGUUAUUUAAUCACACAUAGGAAGCAACACCUUCCUUAUAUUCAUUUUCACAAAUUUGGCAGGUAAAAUGAGUUAUUUCUCUAGGUUUUCUAUGUCUGCUUUUUAAACUUCAUAUAUUAGAACAUUUAUAACAUAUGCAUAUAUAAUAGUACAGAGACUACUAUAAUAAUGAACUCCUAUUUAUCCAGCUUCAAAAAUUAUCAUCUCCCCCAACUUUUUGGCUCCUCUUCUCCACCCCCAGAUCAUUUGCAGCAAAUCUCAGACAUUAUAUCAUGUUGGUUGUUAAUAUUUCAAUAUACAUUUUGAGAUAAUACUCUUUUGAAAUAUAUCUACAACCCCAUUGACAUACAAAAAAGUGCUAUGUCAUAUCAUAAAUAAAUAAUUUCUUAAUAUAAUAACAUAUCCAGUAACUGUUUAAUAACAUAUCCAGUAACUGUUUAAUAGUUAUCUAAUUUUUAAAAAAUGAUUUGUAUGAUUGAAAUAAUGGACUCUCCAAAACAUCCAUACACUGUAAUUGGUUAAUGUGUCUCUCUGGUCUCAAUCUAUAGGAUUCCUUUUUCUAAUUAAUUUUUUUCUUGUCUCUUUUUUCUUUUUUGGUGGUGGUUUUAGCAACUGAGCUGUUUGUAUAUAGGGUAGAUCUUGUUGAUUACAUCAUUGAGGUGUUGUUUACAUGUUGCUGUGAUCCCUUUAUCUUCUGUAAAUUGUUGGUUAAGUUUGAUAUUUUUAGUAAGACUUCAUAGAUGUUGUCUACUUUCCUAAGAAUUACAAAAUGUGUCUACUUGUUUCUUGUUUGUAUGUGCCAUAUAACAGUCACUGAAGGCCUUUACCUAAAUUUCUAGUGUUUUCAUUCCUUUUUAUCAUCAAAUAUUUGUCUACCCUGAAAUAUAGUUCAUUAAGUCAAGGAAGAAAAAUUGCUUGACUUCAUCUCUCUAGUUACCAGUUUUCCAAAUAACAAAUUGGUUCCAUAGCAUCCUCUAAGGAAGAAAAGUGAUAUUUUAUGUAGAACUCUGACUUAUACAAUUGUUCAACAAAAUUUGUAUUAAUUCAGUGGAGUUUUUCUGAGUGUCUUCUCUGUUUAAGGCAUUUCUUUAGAUGCUGAAUAUACAACAGAGAAGAAAAUAGGCAAAAAAAAAA
rnacentral:lncRNA from 1 species